GAUGAACGCUGGCGGCGUGCCUAAUACAUGCAAGUCGAGCGAACAGACGAGGAGCUUGCUCCUCUGACGUUAGCGGCGGACGGGUGAGUAACACGUGGAUAACCUACCUAUAAGACUGGGAUAACUUCGGGAAACCGGAGCUAAUACCGGAUAAUAUAUUGAACCGCAUGGUUCAAUAGUGAAAGACGGUUUUGCUGUCACUUAUAGAUGGAUCCGCGCCGCAUUAGCUAGUUGGUAAGGUAACGGCUUACCAAGGCAACGAUGCGUAGCCGACCUGAGAGGUGGGGGGGCCAGCUGAGGAGGGGGGCACGCCCAGGCCGACGACGGGGGGGAGCAGGCGGGAAUUUGCCGAGAUGGGCGAAAGCUUGACGGGUAACCGCCGCGGGAGGGAGAAAGGUUUGAGGAUCGUAAAAUCCUUUUUUAGGGGAAGAACAAAUGUGAAAGUAAUUGUGCCUUGCUGGCCGGUACCGAAUAAGAAAGCCACGGCUAACUCCGUG
rnacentral:rRNA from 1 species